rnacentral:rRNA from 1 species
CGGCGGACGGGUGAGUAACACGUGGGGCAACCUGCAUCAUAGAGGGGAAUAGCCUUUCGAAAAGGGAGAUUAAUACCGCAUAAGAUUGUAGUUCCGCAUGGUACAGCAAUUAAAGGAGCAAUCCGCUAUGAGAUGGGCAUGCGUUCCAUUAGCUUGUUGGUGAGGUAACUGCUCACCAAGGCAUCGAUGGAUAGGGGAACUGAGAGGUUUGUCCCCCACACUGGAACUGAGACACGGUCCAGACUCCUACGGGAGGCAGCAGUGAGGAAUAUUGGUCAAUGGACGCAAGUCUGAACCAGCCAAGUCGCGUGAAGGAUGACGGCCCUACGGGUUGUAAACUUCUUUUUUAAGGGAAUAAAGUGAGCCACGUGUGGCUCUUUGCAUGUACCUUACGAAUAAGGAUCGGCUAACUCCGUGCCAGCAGCCGCGGUAAUACGGAGGAUCCAAGCGCUAUCCGGAUUUAUUGGGUUUAAAGGGUGCGCAGGCGGAAUAUUAAGUCGGCGGUGAAAGUUUGCAGCUUAACUGUAAAAUUGCCGUUGAUACUGGUAUUCUUGAGUGUAUAUGAAGUAGGCGGAAUUUGUAGUGUAGCGGUGAAAUGCAUAGAUAUUACAAGGAACUCCAAUUGCGAAGGCAGCUUACUAAAUUACAACUGACGCUCAGGCACGAAGGCGUGGGUAUCAAACAGGAUUAGAUACCCUGGUAGUCCACGCAGUAAACUAUGAUUACUCGCUGUUUGCGAUACACGGUAAGCGGCUUAGCGAAAGCGUAAG